AUUGAACGCUGGCGGCAGGCCUAACACAUGCAAGUCGAACGGUAACAGGAAGAAGCUUGCUUCUUUGCUGACGAGUGGCGGACGGGUGAGUAAUGUCUGGGAAACUGCCUGAUGGAGGGGGAUAACUACUGGAAACGGUAGCUACUACCGCAUAACGUCGCAAGACCAAGAGGGGGACCUUCGGGCCUCUUGCCAUCGGAUGUGCCCAGAUGGGAUUAGCUAGUAGGUGGGGUAACGGCUCACCUAGGCGACGAUCCCUAGCUGGUCUGAGAGGAUGACCAGCCACACUGGAACUGAGACACGGUCCAGACUCCUACGGGAGGCAGCAGUGGGGAAUAUUGCACAAUGGGCGCAAGCCUGAUGCAGCCAUGCCGCGUGUAUGAAGAAGGCCUUCGGGUUGUAAAGUACUUUCAGCGGGGAGGAAGGGAGUAAAGUUAAUACCCUUGCUCAUUGACGUUACCCGCAGAAGAAGCACCGGCUAACUCCGU
rnacentral:rRNA from 1 species